rnacentral:lncRNA from 1 species
AGAGUUGUCAGGCAAUCCUUCCUGGUCACCGGGCAGAAAAAGAGAGGCAGUUAUAGACACACUGGAUCAUAUAAGUGACACUCAGAAACAGCCACACACUAUCUGUGGAUUCUAUUUUUCUACGAUGCUUGCUUUCUUUACCGAGGUCUUUGGCAUGUCCACGUUUUGGCUGACAUAGCGAAACCCCGUCUCUACUAAAAAUACAAACUAUUAGCUUGGGGUGGUGCUGCAUGCCUGUGGAAAUAGACUUCUUCUGAUUUCUGUAGGAGUGACUUUUAUGGAGACGAGUCACCUUACGGCUGUCUGAGGAACCAGGAAAGCACUGGACCCAUCUACUCUGAAACAAAGGAACAACUUCCAGGAUAACAAAGAAAAAGUCAGUUUUUACCACCAAGACACCUUGGAUAAAAGAUAGGAAAAACCCAUCCUUGUCAAUGGGCUCUGCAAUGCCAGCUGUGGAGUCUGAGUGCUGGCUUCCUCUCUGGG